rnacentral:rRNA from 1 species
UACGGAAGGCAGCAGUGGGGAAUAUUGCACAAUGGGCGCAAGCCUGAUGCAGCCAUGCCGCGUGUAUGAAGAAGGCCUUCGGGUUGUAAAGUACUUUCAGUCGUGAGGAAGGUGUUAAGGUUAAUAACCUUAGCAAUUGACGUUAGCGACAGAAGAAGCACCGGCUAACUCCGUGCCAGCAGCCGCGGUAAUACGGAGGGUGCGAGCGUUAAUCGGAAUUACUGGGCGUAAAGGGCACGCAGGCGGUUAAUUAAGUUGGAUGUGAAAUCCCCGGGCUUAACCUGGGAAUGGCAUUCAAGACUGGUUAGCUAGAGUCUUGUAGAGGGGGUAGAAUUCCAUGUGUAGCGGUGAAAUGCGUAGAGAUGUGGAGGAAUACCGGUGGCGAAAGGCGGCCCCUGGACAAAAGGACUGACGCUCAUGUGCGAAAGCGUGGGGAGCAAACAGGAUUAGAUACC